UUUAUCUUCAUCUCAUGUACAAAUGUACAUUUUCUAUAAUGUGUUUCAGGUAACAUACACAGCUGUCAAGACCUGAAGUACAAAGAAAAGAGGAACUUACAGAAAGAUGGAAGAAGAGUAUGCCAUGCAGAUGAAGCUGGGAAUUAAAGACCCAGAUAGAGGAAUAAGGCAAAAAGAGUAUGACUACUAGGAAGAGAAUGGAUUCAGGAAUCUUCUGUGUAGGUGGAAGCCCCACCAGCAGAGUGGCAGAGUGGCAGAGGAGAGAAGAGAGGCAGCAGAAGGACAUCAAAGAGAAGCAGCUUGACUUCAGAGGAACAGCUUGACAGCAGGACUUCGCAGAAGAGUUCCACAGGGGACGGCUGAACUCCAGGAGAAGACCACCUUCCCACUCCAUCCGCUUUCCAGCUCCCCAUCCUGCCAAGAGCCACUUCUACUGCUCAGUAAAAUCCUCCACAUUCACCACCCUUCAAUUCAUUCAUAUGACCUUAUUCUUCCUGGAUGCCAGACAAGUACUCGGGUACCAAGAGGGCGGGUGCAAAAGGCUGUCACCCUGACCCUCCACUGAUCUGUUAAACACUUAAGUUGUCUGUGGAUGGCAAAGCUAAAUGAGCACACUGUAACACAUGCCCUCUAGGACUCCGGAGGUCACAGGUUCCCCUCCCCUCCCCCCCACCCCCCAGGAAGCUUCCACUGGACUGCACAGGAUUCUACUCCUGCGGAUGCCCAGAAGCACUUGUCCCAGUCCCUGUACCCACUCACCUGCAUGCUCCCCGUCCCGUGAGGGGAUGAGAGCUGCGAGCUGAGUAAACAAGUCAAUCCCUUUGUGAGUCCCGCGAAGGGGUCAAGGGAACUAUCCCAUUUCUGAAGGAAGGGGCUGGAGGGGUGUUGUAAUAAAAAAUUCUAUUGGACAUAUUAAAUUUGAGAUGCUUACUAGACAUACAAAUGGAGAUUUCAAAAAGAUAGCUGAAUAUGAGUCUGAAACACAUCACUGCCUUCUAAAUUUUAUUUUAAUCAUAUGCAUAUCUGUUAACAACUAGUUUAUACUUCUGGUUGUAUUAGGGAAGAAAGAUGGUUUAAAUUUUCUUUAACUAUUAAGUAGAUCCUCCUCUUAAUUGUGACUGAGUCUUGAAAUGCAUACCAAAGGUCGUAGGCUCUCUGUACUUCCUCUUCUUUCUAAACUCCCGAUGGAUUUCUGAUAAGCAGAAUGCUCCCCCUAUUAAUUCCAUCUACUGCCUGGAAACUGUGGAUAUGUUUCAAUAUAUGCCUAACUGGACUCUGCGGAUGUAAUUAAGGCUACUAAUUAGUGACUAAAUAGAUUCCUCUGGAUUACUUAGGUGGGCCCGAUCUAAAAAAAUUUGCUCUUGAAAGCAGAGAACCUUGUCCAGCUAGGAGCAGAAGAGAGCCAUGGCAACAUGUCAUGAAAUUUCACGUGUGAGAAUGAUCAGCACACCAUUACUGGCUCUGAGAUAUUACAGCCUAUGUAGAAGCACCAGAGAGAGGGCUCUAAGAGCUAAGGGAGCCCCCUAGAUGACAGUCAACCAAGAAACAGAGACCCUAGUCCUAUAACCAUAAGGUACUGGAUUCUGCCAGAAGUAUGGAUCAGCUUGGAAGUAAAUUCUUCCCCAGAAACUCCAGAUAAGAGCCUGCCAGAAUUCUGACCUACAGAACAGUGAGAUAAUAAAUGGGUGUUAUUUUAAGCCACUAUUUAAGCCACUAUUUAGUUAUAGCAAUAAUAGAAAAUUAACACAAGACUUAAAUGUAAUAAGGUGAUGGGGAUGAGGAAAGUGGGAUUCUAUUUCCAGAGUACUAAAAUGUAUGAAAUAUGGACAUGUGAAACUCCUAGUCAUGGUUGAUGUGGGCACUGUCUCCCUUUAACACUUAGAGCCCUUCGUGUUGAUGAGAAAAUUUCAUUGAUCUACUAACGCCCUAGCCAAGACUAUAGCCAGGUAGUCCCAUAACUAAAUCUCCAGAUGGGCUUUCUAAAUACCUGAAAUGUGAAGAUGAAACUUCUUCCCUCAACCACCACUACCACCACAGAAAUGGUGCAGGGCAUGGGAUAGUCACUCCUUUCACUCACAUGAGAACCCUCAAGAGCACUGAUAGGGCAAACUGCGAACCUCAGGCAUUUGACUGCUAGUGUAGUUGCCUGACUCCACAGCAUAAAGAGGUGAAGGUAGGGGGCUAUAGGCUCAGACAGCAACAUUACAAAUGUCCAGUUUUAAAAAACACAUAUUUCCCCUUCACCCAUAAUUACUACGAUAGAAACCCAAUUUUCACCAUUCAGAUAAUAACCUGAAAACCUCACUCUUCAGAUAAUGUGUGUAAAAGCAUUCUGGAUAUGAAAGGCUGUAAAGUUAUACUAAUACAAAAUGUAAGAAACUUCAGGUAAACCAGUAGUCAAAAAUCAUGCAUAGAAGUUCCAUUUAUGUAAGACGACUUUCUCCUAGCUAAUUCCUACUUGUUAAUCAAAGUGUAGUUCAAUGUUAUUUCUUCUCUUCUAGUUCCUAAAAUAUAUUAACACCCACGUUACUGUACUGACCACAUUGUAGUAAUUGCAUGUUUAUACUUCUUUUUGUGAGUUUCUCAUAUCAUUUCUUACCAGAAUCUAACACACUGAUGAUCACACAGUAUACACUCAAUAAAUGUUUUUAAAUUGAUUAAUUUCUUCAAGAUACCAUAGCUUUUUUAUGAGAUAGCUUUAGGUAUCUAAAAGAUGAGUCACAGACAGAAAUAAAGGCCCUUUAUUAGGCCCCAAUAUAUCACAUAUAUUUCUACACUACUUUAGGGAGCUAUGCAUUUCCAGUCUUCAAUUUCUCUCUUUUAAUUUAAUAUUAUUGAGUGUAAAAAUGUUAAGAAAAUACAAAGCUUACUGCCUAGAAUAUUUUGGAAUCCAUUUAUAUUAGACUAUGUAACAUAUUCUAAAUGUUGUAAGAUUGACUAUAACAAUGCUAACUUAUUAUAUGUCAGAUAUCAUUCUAAGUGUUUCACAUGAAGUAAAUAAAGCAUUUAUUCCUCAC
rnacentral:lncRNA from 10 species